UUCAAUGAUAGUUACAAUUAA
rnacentral:piRNA from 1 species